UGGGGAAUAUUGCACAAUGGGGGAAACCAUGAUGCAGCGACGCCGCGUGAACGAAGAAGGUAUUCGUAUCGUAAAGUUCUGUCCUAUGGGAAGAUAAUGACAGUACCAUAGAAGAAAGCUCCGGCUAAAUACGUGCCAGCAGCCGCGGUAAUACGUAUGGAGCGAGCGUUGUCCGGAAUUAUUGGGCGUAAAGGGUACGCAGGCGGUUUAAUAAGUCGAAUGUUAAAGAUCGGGGCUCAACCCCGUAAAGCAUUGGAAACUGAUAAACUUGAGUAGUGGAGAGGAAAGUGGAAUUCCUAGUGUAGUGGUGAAAUACGUAGAUAUUAGGAGGAAUACCAGUAGCGAAGGCGACUUUCUGGACACAAACUGACGCUGAGGUACGAAAGCGUGGGGAGCAAACAGG
rnacentral:rRNA from 1 species